UACGUAGGGUGCAAGCGUUGUCCGGAAUUAUUGGGCGUAAAGAGCUCGUAGGCGGUUUGUCGCGUCUGCUGUGAAAACUCGGGGCUUAACCCCGGGCCUGCAGUGGGUACGGGCAGACUAGAGUGCGGUAGGGGAGACUGGAAUUCCUGGUGUAGCGGUGAAAUGCGCAGAUAUCGGGAGGAAUACCGAUGGCGAAGGCAGGUCUCUGGGCUGACACUGACGCUCAUGCACGAAAGCGUGGGGAGCAAACAGG
rnacentral:rRNA from 1 species